rnacentral:rRNA from 1 species
GAGUUACUAGUAAUCGCAGAUCAGAAUGCUGCGGUGAAUGCGUUCCCGGGUCUUGUACACACCGCCCGUCACACCACGGGAGUUGGAGACGCCCGAAGCCGAUUAUCUAACCUUUUGGAAGAAGUCGGCGAAGGUGGAAUCAAUAACUGGGGUGAAGUCGUAACAAGGUAGCCGUAUCGGAAGGUGCGGCUGGAUCACCUCCUUUCUAAGGA